AGCUGGCGAAUGCUCAUUGGCUCUCGCGUGCUUCCUCAACCUCAACGGUUGUAUCUUGCGUUUGAAUAACAAGCGCGCCACAAAGCAACUCGAGAUUUAAAGCGUACGAUUUUAAUUCUACUCUGAGCUUCACGCAGAAUUAUUGAACUUUGCCAGAGUCAGGACUCACCUGGAAACACUGUCCUGGGAGAAAGAAAGUUUAAAGUUCUUACACAGCAGAGGAAGGAUGAAACCGGAGUUUUGCCAUGAAGACAAGCGGACUGUUGAGAAGCAGGUGCAUCGUGGGAUUGUACGUGAAGAUGAUCUGGAAGAAGACCCGUUGAUAAAUCUGGAAAGUUCCAUUGUUUCAGUGAAAGGUCGAGUCCAAUAAUUUCUGCAGAACAAUGACGAAACAGUGGAAAAUACUGAGGAUGUAUCAUGGUGCACAGAAAGGGCACGCGCGUAGAUUCGAGUUGCCAGUGUUGUUGUUAUUAUUAGACUGCAGGACUGGAGUAUGAAGUCUUCAGCAAAUGCACUCACCAAGUUUUUUUUUUCGGCCAGAUGUGUCUAUAGCCUAUUGCUGGAACGGAACUAAUGAUUGGUUUUUAAAUAAUUUACAUUUUGCAGUUAAAAAGUAUUGCUAGAUCGAUCAGGCCAAUUCCCUUUGUAUUUCUCUCUCUCUCUACUGUAAAAAUCUCCAAAAUGGCAUUCAAAUGUCACAAGUGAUCAAUAUUUUCAUUUUUUACGAAAAAAAAAAAGUUUGAAACUACAUCAAAGCUAAAUUGCGUGUUUCAUAAUUAGCUGGGACAAUAAAAGUAUUGAGUCAAACUAACAUUUUAUCGCGUGGAUAUAAGUUGCAUAUAAAACCCCUUGAGAUGUGUGAUACCCUUUAAUUAUUGCUAUAGCCUAUAUAUAUAUAUAUAUAUAUAUAUAUAUAUAUAUGUGUGUGUGUGUGUGUGUGUGUGUGUAUGUAUGUCAUGCUUCUAGUUAAGGAUCUUCACAGUAAUAAAAUGGUGUUUAAAUGCA